AUACAGAGGGUGCGAGCGUUAAUGGGAAUUACUGGGCGUAAAGCGCGCGUAGGCGGCUACUUAAGUCAGAUGUGAAAUCCCCGGGCUCAACCUGGGAACUGCAUCUGAUACUGGGUAGCUAGAGUUUUGGAGAGGGAAGUAGAAUUUCAGGUGUAGCGGUGAAAUGCAUAGAGAUCUGAAGGAAUACCAGUGGCGAAGGCGACUUCCUGGCCAAAAACUGACGCUGAGGUGCGAAAGCGUGGGUAGCAAACGGGAUUAGAAACCCCUGUAGUCC
rnacentral:rRNA from 1 species